rnacentral:rRNA from 1 species
GGUGAUAAACCGGAGGAAGGUGGGGAUGACGUCAAGUCAUCAUGAUCUAUACGAGUAGGGCUACACACGUGCUACAAUGGCGUAUACAAAGAGAAGAGACCUCGCGAGAGCAAGCGGACCUCAUAAAGUACGUCGUAGUCCGGAUUGGAGUCUGCAACUCGACUCCAUGAAGUCGGAAUCGCUAGUAAUCGUAGAUCAGAAUGCUACGGUGAAUACGUUCCCGGGCCUUGUACACACCGCCCGUCACACCAUGGGAGUGGGUUGCAAAAGAAGUAGGUAGCUUAACCUUCGGGAGGGCGCUUACCACUUUGUGAUUCAUGACUGGGGUGAAG